rnacentral:tRNA from 1 species
GCCCGGCUAGCUCAAUCGGUAGAGCGUGUGACUCUUAUGAUUGUAAAAUCUGAUGGUCUAUCACAAGGUUGCGGGUUCGACCCCCGCGUUGGGCU